AAACAACAAGUGAAGAGGAGCUAAUUGAGAGGACGAGAUUGAAGCGGCUGCCAAAAUCUCUCAUUCUUCUCCUAUUUUCUUGUACAAAUCGCUCACACUAGUCACCAUUUCUUAGUCGUCCAUGCCUACUGAUGACCUCUCAUAGGUAGAGGUAGUGAAUCUCAUCCAAUUUUUGCCUUAAUUGUGAUGAAGACUGCACUAUAUACAGUUGGUUUAUUUAUUAUUGAGUAAAUUUAACCAAUAAUCACUGAACUUUACACUUAAUUACUACUUGCUUACUCAUCUUUCACAGAUUACUGAAUGCCCACUCAUCUUUUCAUAUAAUACUCAUUCACCACUCGUCUCUUCAAAUAAUUGAGCUACUUUUACGGCAAACUUUCAACAACUUCCGACCACAAAGAAUGUCAAAUUUUGAUACCGUUGGAAAGCCCACGAUGUCCUCUUCAAUUACCACCCAAAAUCUCAUUAUAACUCCAAGGGAUUCGAUCGAAAAAUUGCCUUAAAAGUCGCCCAAAAAUUCUGAAAAUUUGCCCAGAUUUUCAGAUUUUUUGGGCGACUUUUAAGGCAAUUUUUUGGCAACUUUCGACCAUCAAAACUAUCUAAUUUUGAUACCAUUGGAAAGCCCACAAUGUCCUCUUCAAUUACCACCCAAAAUUUCCCGAUAACUCCAAAGGAUUCGGUUGGAAUAAACCCACAAAGUCAACAUCCCGAACUUUGUCCAGAUUUUCGCCUUUUCAAGAUAUUGAUUUUGUGGGUUUAUUCCGACCGAAUUCUUUGGAGUUAUGGGAAAAUUUUGGAUGGUAAUUGAAGAGGACAUUGUGGGCUUUCCAAUGGGACCAAAAUUCGAUAGUUUUGAUGGUCGAAAGUUGCUGAAAAAUUGCCUUAAAAGUCGUCCAAAAAUCUGAAAAUCUGGGCAGAUUUUCAAAAUUUUUGGGCAACUUUUAAGGCAAUUUUUCAAUCGAAUCCCUUGGAGCUAUAAUGAAAUUUUGGGUGGUAAUUGAAGAGGAUAUCGUGGACUUUCCAACGGUAUCAAAAUUCGACAUUCUUUGUGGUCGGAAGUUGUCGAAAAUUUGCCGUAAAAGUCUUCCAAUUAUUUGAAGAGACGAGUGGUGAAUGAGUAAUUAUAUGAAAAGAUGAGUGAGCAUUCAGUAAUCUGUGAAAUAUGAGUGAGCAAGUAGUAAUCAAGUGUAAAGUUCAGUGAUUAUUGGUUAAAUUUACUCAUUUAUUAUUAUUAUUAUUAUUAUUAUUUUUUUUUUACAUUUUACUCAGUAACUCUGUUCUUUCUCUCAUUUUUCACACAAGAUUUUCGUUAUUUCACAUGGGUUCCAUUGUUGUGUGUUCCAUUUUUCAAAUCUUACAUCUCCAGCAGGUUGUAAUGUUGUUAUUGCUCAUUCUAUUUUUCAAUUUUUAGAUGUAAUAAUGCAAUUUUUUAUUCCAUUGCUCAAAUUUACUACUGGAAGAUCAGAUGUAGUACCGAAAAUGGAAAUGACAAAUAAAAAUAAAUAAUUUAUAGUCGAAUCAAAGAAUGAUUUGUUCAACAGUUCACAAUCCUUAAACUUCAAACAAGUCAUUAGUUGACAUAUUGAUCACAAACCUUCACACAUCAUGUUCUCACGAUUGUAAUUUGCUUGAAUCUUCUCUUCAGUUUCUGCGUCAAGCCAUUUGACUAUUAAGAUCGAGCUCCCGCUUGACUCAGAAAUACUCUUUUGAUACUUGGCUUCCAAAUGGGAGCGGGAGUUCUCCAUUUCCCUCUCAGCUUCUUCUUUAGAUUGUCUCAAUCUUUUCAUUUUCAGGUUUUUAGUAGUAGUUACUGUUGGGUUUUUGAUACUCAAUCAACCGGGCGAUGAUUUAAAACAGUUGGCGGAUUAUUUAUUGACACCAUGGACUUGGCUCGGCUAGAAGACGAACUACACUUUUUGAUGGCUCGGGUUUGUGUUGGAUUAUUAUUUGGUUAGUUGGACCAUUUAGAGAUUAAUAUGGAGUUGAAUAUUGGCUCAUUAGUUUGGGUUAAUUGGUAGCCCUCUUAGUGAACCCUAGGCCCAAUUGGAGUGACCUAAACUAAACUAUAUAUACGUAUUUAUCUUCCAGCCGUUUUGUGUGUGUGUGUGUGUGUUGUAGCAAUGGAGAGGAGAGUUGAGAGAAGAGAGGUAGCCUAUAGAGAAGGAAGCCAUGUGAGGUUGUGAGUGAGAUUCAACCAUUGUGAUAUCUUCUUUCCUCUCCAUAUCUUUGUAGAUUGCUAACACCACCACCCUUCUCUUUUGUGGGGUUUGAGAGAGUUUGGACAGUCCAAAGUGAAGGCGAAAGUCUCGGGUCGAGUCGAGGUAAAUCGGUGUUCGUUUGAUUGUUUUCUGAGCCCGAAAUGAAGAUUUAUCGAGGGAUUUCCGCUACAGUUACAAUUUGUUGAGCCUCCUGCUCCGCACUCAGUAGCAUCUGAAUAACUUAUUGUCCUCUCAUUGAAUCCAUUUCAGCUAUCUGAUGGAAAUUCGCAGAGAUAGAAAUGGUAUUUUUUUUAAGAAAACGUGAGAGAAUAGAAAAGGCAAUUCCAUGCAAUGUAUUUAUAACGCAAUUAUAAUAAUAAAAAGAAAUGCAAAUGCAAAAAUCUUACGGUGUUAAUUCAACUGAAUAUUUUCCUAGCAAUUAUUGAACGCAAAUGUUGCCUGAAACAUAGAGAAACAGAGAGACAUAUCCUUUUUUUUUUACCCCCCCUUUUUUUAGUUUCCAAAACACACAGAAGAGCUAGAGCUAUAAAUUCUAGGAUUAUACUCAAUCAAAGCUAAUCAAAUCUUUCUCAUUGUGCGUGAAAAGUUAUGUGUAAUUAAUUAAGGAUUAUGUUAUCUUGUCGCAGAGUGAUAGUGUAAAAUUAGUUUCAAAUAUUUUAGCAUGAAUAUAUGAACAAAAUUAAGAACAGUGAGUUUCAAUGAUUUUAUAUUAGGAUUAUGAAAUAAUAUGCAAUAGUUUAAAUAAAUUAAAAAUACUACCAAUAAAUAGAUUUUUCAAUACAUCAAAGUUGAUAGGAGUUUUUAAAGAAAAUUCAUGAAAAAGAAUUUAAAGAAUUUUAAUAAAAGUUGAUGACAUGCAUGUCUUAAAAGUUUGAUUAAAAUUAUGAGUUUAUGAAAUAUGUGAUCAAAUUAAAAUUUAACAAGCUCAAAAUUGAAAAAUUAACCUAGUUUAUUAAACAAGCAUGAAGCAUGUAAUUUUUCAAUGUUCGAUAGAUAAUUAUAUUCCUCAGUUGGAAUGUCUAGAGUCGACUUUGCUCCUACCUUACUCAUUCUCUAUUUUCUCUCCAACACUUUCUGCAUGAUAUGCCUCUAGAAAUGAUAUGAGGGUUUAAUUUAUCAUCCUUGAUUCUAAUCUUGGUAGAGGAUGCUAGUAUUACUUUAAAAUUUUUCAUACUUCUCGUCCUUUGCUAUCACAUUCGAUGAUCUAUUCUUCAUAGGCUAAAAUGCUAUAUAAAAGGAGAGAAAUGAUAACAAUUUACAUCCGUGUUUUAUUACAUGGUAUUAAAAUGUUUCUAACUCAAAAUUUUUUGAAUAUUGCGGUGUUAGUGUUGGAUAGUAACUUUGCCUAUAAUGAACAAAUAGUGACUGCACUUAUCAAGGUUAUCACAUGAAAUUAGAUGUUAUAAAUCUAGUUACCAAAUGAAAAUAAUUCAAUGUAUAAUGAUCAUAAAUCAAAUGGAGCACAAAAUUUUACUGAAUGAAGCUUUUCCAUGCUAUGGCUCAAAAGGGUUAUCUACUUGUGUUUUAUGAAAUAAUAUAUCUUAGGAACAUAUCUUGUCUUUUUACUUGAAUAGUACAACUUCAAUAUAUGUAAUUACUAAAUUUGUAUUGCAGAGAAAAAAGAAUCCAGAUUUAAAAGGAUUAAGAACAAGAGUAUGGACUCAUGGAUAUCUUAGGAAAGACGGAAAACUAAUAAAUGAAGUAGUUGCCGAUACUUUGGCAUGUGUAUUAUAUCAAUGUUCAAUGAAGCAUAAUUUGAUUUAUUAGUUGUAUCACUAAUAAAAUUAGAGUGCCAUAAAUGCAAAGAAGGAUUGAAGAUUGUGUCAUAUCAAUUUAUGAUACACCUGUCGAAGUUUCCAUCCGCGAUGAUGCUGUCACUCGAGUUUUAGGUCCUGAACGUCAUGGAACAGUUAAGGAACAUGGAUUUGGAGUUACACCAUCAAAAGCAGAUGGACAAAUACAAUUUAGUGGGGAGUUAGAGAACUUGAAAGUCAAUUACAAUCUUAGUCACAAAGGGUGAGACACUGGAAGAAAAAGUGGGAACAUCUCAAGUUAUCUCAGUAGGUUAUAAGUAGUUACCUUUUUAUAUAUACUAUGAUAAUAUAGCUUAAUAUAACCAAUUACAUGAUGAAAAACUUGUGUAAUUUUUGUAUCAUUCUAUAGAAUGUAGAGGACAAGAAUUCAAAUGUUUCUACUCCUCAGGUUUUUAAAUGUUUAUUCAAUAUAUAUUCAGUUUGUAGCAUUCUAAUUUUAAAAAGAAUAUUUUUACUAUGAAUUUGUAGUCACAGCAAAGAAGUGGUGUCCAAGGAAGUAUUGCACCUAUGACAAAUGCAAAAUGUCAACUAUUACAUUGAUACAUGUUUGAGGAGGAGAAGUUGUAGUAGAAGGGAAGAUUGCAACAACAGACCUAAGUGCAAAGGUGUAUUACUUGCCACUUAGUCGAGACUGUUGGAAAGUUUGGGUUGAGGAAGUGUAGAUUGGUAAUUUGACCUUAUACAGACCUACAGAUAAAUUCCGAACUCUUAGUGAAGCUAAGGUAUGUUUUCUGGAUUUAUUACAUAGACACGUGAAUCUAUUUCCAUUUUCUUUCCAUCCCAAACAGUAUUUAGUGUUAAUCGGUUGGUACAUAUGAAGUGGUUUCAUGUUUUUUGCUUAUUUAGGUGUGAUGAAAUUGACUUUAUUGCAAGUGAGCACAGAAUGGACCAAUGAAUGAUGAUGACAACGAUGAUGAUGAUGAUGAUAAUAGAAGUUCUUAGAUUUUACAAUAUGGUUUCUAAUAGGAAUUUCAAUGUCAUUGGUUGGUUAGCUAGUGAGAUUUUGGUAGUGAGGAUUAUAGGUUACUUCGCUGAACUCUUAGGUUUUCUUCAGUAAUUUUUUUUUGCUAUUGAAUUGUCGAAACAUGAUUCUAAUGUGUGAGCAACCUCUAUUAUCGAUUUGAUGUUUGGUUCUUUUUCAGUACAAUGUAGUUUAGUGUAUUAUCUUUUUUCAUUUGAGUAGUUUUUGAAGAAUAUAUAAAUGUUCUAUGAAUAAUAUAUGGCGUCUGUAGGGACAUGGAACUGCUAUGUUUUGAUGCUCUCAUGGGGAUGUAUUUUAUUGGUUUCAUUGUAGAAACAUCUUGAGCGUCUCUAUACCUUUUGUAUUUUAUACU
rnacentral:lncRNA from 1 species